rnacentral:rRNA from 1 species
GAUCCUGGCUUAGGAUAAACGCCGGCGGCGUGCCUAAUACAUGCAAGUCGAACGGGAGUAGCAAUACUCUAGUGGCGUACGGGUGAGUAACACGUUGGUAACCUACCCCAAGGACCGGAAUACCAAGGAGAAAUCUUUGCUAAUGCCGGAUGAAACCAUAGAAGCGCAAGCUUCAUUGAUCAAAGGCGGCAAUUGCCGCGCCAUGGGAUGGACCUGCGUCGCAUUAGCUAGUUGGCGGGAUAAUGGCCCACCAAGGCCGGGAUGCGUAGCCGAGCUGAGAGGCUGAUCGGCCACAUUGGGACUGAGACACGGCCCAGACUCCUACGGGAGGCAGCAGUAGGGAGUAUUUGGCAAUGGGGGAAACCCUGACCGAGCAACGCCGCGUGUGUGAAUGAAGGCCUUCGGGUCGUAAAACACUGUGAUUGACUGGGAAACUCAGGAGGAGUGGAAAGCCUUCUGACUGACCGGUCUAUUAGAAAGCAACUGCUAACUACGUGCCAGCCGCCGC